AUACGGUGAAUACGUUCCCCGGACCCUGUACACACCGCCCGUCAAGCCAUGGAAGCUGGGUGUACCUAAAGUCGGUAACCGUAAGGAGCCGCCUAGGGUAAAACUAGUAACUGGGCU
rnacentral:rRNA from 1 species